CCUACGGGUGGCAGCAGUGGGGAAUAUUGGACAAUGGGCGAAAGCCUGAUCCAGCCAUGCCGCGUGUGUGAAGAAGGCCUUCGGGUUGUAAAGCACUUUCAGUGGGGAAGAAAGCCUUGGGGCUAAUACCCUCGAGGAAGGACAUCACCCACAGAAGAGGCACCGGCUAACUCCGUGCCAGCAGCCGCGGUAAUACGGAGGGUGCGAGCGUUAAUCGGAAUUACUGGGCGUAAAGCGCGCGUAGGCGGUCUGAUAAGCCGGUUGUGAAAGCCCCGGGCUCAACCUGGGAACGGCAUCCGGAACUGUCAGGCUAGAGUGCAGGAGAGGAAGGUAGAAUUCCCGGUGUAGCGGUGAAAUGCGUAGAGAUCGGGAGGAAUACCAGUGGCGAAGGCGGCCUUCUGGACUGACACUGACGCUGAGGUGCGAAAGCGUGGGUAGCAAACAGGAUUAGAUACCCCGGUAGUC
rnacentral:rRNA from 1 species